AAGCUGGCUUCGGCAGCACAUAUACCAGAAUUGGAACGAGACAGAGAUUAGCAUGGCCCCUGCGCAAGGAUGGGUUCCGAUUCCAGGUUCUCCCCAUCUUG
rnacentral:snRNA from 1 species